UUAUUGUUGCAGUUAUUGUCUGUUGGAAGUGGCAGAAUAUCAGAGGGUGGUGUUCCCAACUGUCAGCCGGGGCCAAUCCUGUGCGUUCCAUGAGAUAUGGGAAGUGCAAUGGAAGGGAGAAUGGGGAAGGAGGAAUAAGCCUUUUGAACCAGAACAACCUCACAAUUUCUAACCACAAGGACGAGGGCACAGAUCUUCAUUCAGGGAAUCAAGGUGACAUUGUCAUAACCGUGCAGAAUGGUGAAACCAGGAAUCCUAAUGGAACCGGCACCGACCCUGCCUGAUUCCUGGGCCGGAGCAGAAUGUGGCUACACGGUCACUGUUACAUACAUAGGGCUGCCCAUACAAGCAGUUUGCCCAACAGUAUGGGCAUCUCGGGGCUCAUUAUAUGACAGAUCAGGUUUCUUGGACCUCAGUCAGUCUGUCUGAACUGCAGAUAUCAUCUUCUGAUGUGCCUUGUUGGUGGGAGUAUUAUUAUU